rnacentral:rRNA from 1 species
GAUGAACGCUGGCGGCGUGCCUAAUACAUGCAAGUCGAGCGAACAGACGAGGAGCUUGCUCCUCUGACGUUAGCGGCGGAAGGGUGAGUAACACGUGGAGAACCUACCUAUAAGACUGGGAUAACUUCGGGAAACCGGAGCUAAUACCGGAUAAUAUAUUGAACCGCAUGGUUCAAUAGUGAAAGACGGUUUUGCUGUCACUUAUAGAUGGAUCCGCGCCGCAUUAGCUAGUUGGUAAGGUAACGGCUUACCAAGGCGACGAUGCGUAGCCGACCUGAGAGGGUGAUAGGCCACACUGGAGCGGGGACACGGUCCAGACGCCUACGGGAGGCAGCAGUAGGGAAUCUUCCGCAAUGGGCGAAAGCCUGACGGAGCAACGCCGCGUGAGUGAUGAAGGUCUUCGGAUCGUAAAACUCUGUUAUUAGGGAAGAACAAAUGUGUAAGUAACUAUGCACGUCUUGACGGUACCUAAUCAGAAAGCCACGGCUAACUACGUG